rnacentral:pre_miRNA from 1 species
UCAGAUCGUGUUACUCAAAAAGGGGGCACUUGCCGUUUUUGGGACUGGAAAGUGCUCCCUUUUUGUGUGUCAUUGUUUUG